rnacentral:rRNA from 1 species
CCUACGGGACGCAGCAGUCGGGAAUAUUGCGCAAUGGAGGAAACUCUGACGCAGUGACGCCGCGUAUGGGAAGAAGGUUUUCGGAUUGUAAACUUCUGUUCUUAGUGAAGAAUAAUGACGGUAACUAAGGAGCAAGCCACGGCUAACUACGUGCCAGCAGCCGCGGUAAUACGUAGGUGGCAAGCGUUGUCCGGAAUUACUGGGUGUAAAGGGAGCGUAGGCGGGAAGCCAAGUCAGCUGUGAAAACUACGGGCUUAACCUGUAGACUGCAGUUGAAACUGGCUUUCUUGAGUGAAGUAGAGGUU